AUUGAACGCUGGCGGCAUGCCUUACACAUGCAAGUCGAACGGCAGCACGGGAGCAAUCCUGGUGGCGAGUGGCGAACGGGUGAGUAAUGUAUCGGAACGUGCCUUGUCGUGGGGGAUAACGUAGCGAAAGCUACGCUAAUACCGCAUACCAUCUAAGGAUGAAAGCGGGGGAUCGCAAGACCUCGCGCGACAAGAGUGGCCGAUAUCAGAUUAGGUUGUUGGUGGGGUAAAGGCCUACCAAGCCGACGAUCUGUAGCUGGUCUGAGAGGACGACCAGCCACACUGGGACUGAGACACGGCCCAGACUCCUACGGGAGGCAGCAGUGGGGAAUUUUGGACAAUGGGCGAAAGCCUGAUCCAGCAAUGCCGCGUGCGGGAUGAAGGCCUUCGGGUUGUAAACUGCUUUUGUACAGAACGAAACAGUCUCUCCUAAUACGGGGGCGAAUGACGGUACUGUAAGAAUAAGCACCGGCUAACUACGUGCCAGCAGCCGCGGUAAUC
rnacentral:rRNA from 1 species